CCUUCGAUAGCUCAGUUGGUAGAGCGGUGGACUGUAGAUGAAAUAUGAAAAUGAAUGAGAAAUCCAUAGGUCGCUGGUUCAAAUCCGGCUCGAAGGA
rnacentral:tRNA from 1 species